UUUGGCUUGGCAUGCACUCUUGGCUUGGCCGCUUGGCUUCUUUCGUUUCGUCCUCUGUGCAUCGUACAUAAGCGAACAGCUGUUAUGUUAUUGCUAAGCCGGAAACAAAGCAUGUGAAUAUUUUUUUUUGGCACGGCGUCAUUUGGAAAGUGCACUUCCUUGUUCUGACCUUGCCUUUUAUGGGCUGGAGCGAUAUGCCACGGCGAAGUUGUCGAAGAUGCGACGGUGCUACGUGCUACGCUGUUAGAACAAUUCAUCGGAGCAUUCAAGUGUUACCUUUUAUAAGCUGCUAAAAGACCAAGCAGUGCGAAGCUCUUGGCUGACAGUGGUGCCUGCUAAUUUCCACUGCAAGGAUUUCGUCAACGAAUGUUAUCAUAGGUUACGCGCGACUCCAGAGGCAAUUUGGAAUAUCGGCACGAAAUCGUCGGAUGAAAAUCUGAGGUGCCCGACGCACAACAUUUUGAACGUGCCACGGAGGAUCAAGGCAAAAAACGAGAGCAAAAAAGGUGCACGCUGAUGGCGGAAAUGAAGCAUGAUCUGGCUUGCAUCUGGUGCAUGAAGAAAUUGCUGGCACGUUAGUUGCAGUCUACCUCCACCAACAGGGUGGAAAACAAAGGUCGCCAUUCCGAUUAGCUGCUAUCUCCCAGUUCAAGCACUUUUGCUGUCUGGACACUGGUUCCUGUGGAUGGGCUGUUACAAGCUUCACUGUCUGAUAUAGAAGUGAUGAGCAUCCAUAAGGACACAUGGCAGAAAGGGAAUCUCUUUGAGAUGACAAACCCUCAUCAUCUCAUGAGGAUACAAUGGUUGACGAAUGGUUCUCAAGUACAUCGAAACUUCAACAAAUAAUUCAUGAAAAAGCCAGUCAGUGCUAGCACCAGGAAUUGAACGUGGACCGUCCUGCUACCAGUCAGAAAUGUUACAU